rnacentral:rRNA from 1 species
ACUCCUACGGGAGGCAGCAGUGGGGAAUAUUGCACAAUGGGCGCAAGCCUGAUGCAGCCAUGCCGCGUGUAUGAAGAAGGCCUUCGGGUUGUAAAGUACUUUCAGCGGGGAGGAAGGCGACAGGGUUAAUAACCCUGUCGAU